UGCCAGCCGCCGCGGUAAUACGAAGGGAACUAGCGUUGUUCGGAUUUACUGGGCGUAAAGAGCAUGUAGGCGGAUUGGACAGUUGGAGGUGAAAUCCCGGAGCUCAACUCCGGAACUGCCUUCAAUACUUCCAGUCUAGAAUCUGUAAGGGGGUGGUGGAAUUCCGAGUGUAGAGGUGAAAUUCGUAGAUAUUAGGAAGAACACCAGUGGCGAAGGCGGCUCACUGGCUCGGUACUGACGCUGAGGCGCGAAAGCGUGGGGAGCAAACAGGAUUAGAUA
rnacentral:rRNA from 1 species